rnacentral:rRNA from 1 species
GACAGAGGGUGCAAACGUUGUUCGGAAUUACUGGGCGUAAAGCGUGCGUAGGCGGUGGUCCAAGUCUGGUGUGAAAUCUCCCGGCUUAACUGGGAGGGUGCGCCGGAAACUGGGCCGCUGGAGUACGGGAGAGGCAAGCGGAAUUCCAGGUGUAGCGGUGAAAUGCGUAGAUAUCUGGAGGAACACCCGUGGUGCAGACGGCUUGCUGGACCGUGACUGACGCUGAGGCACGAAAGCGUGGGUAGCAAACAGGA